rnacentral:rRNA from 1 species
CCUACGUGUGGCAGCAGUGGGGAAUAUUGGGCAAUUGGCGCAAGCCUGACCCAGCGACGCCGCGUGAAGGAAGAAGGCUUUCGGGUUGUAAACUUCUUUUCUGAGGUACGAAGAAAGUGACGGUACCUCAGGAAUAAGCCACGGCUAACUACGUGCCAGCAGCCGCGGUAAUCCGUAGGUGGAAAGCGUUAUCCGGAGUUAUUUGGUGUAAAGGGCGUGUAGGCGGGAAAGCAAGUCAGAUGUGAAAACUCAGGGCUCAACCCUGAGCCUGCAUUUGAAACUGUUUUUCUUGAGUGCUGGAGAGGCAAUCGGAAUGCCGUGUGUAGCGGUGAAAUGCGUAGAGAUACGGAGGAAAACCAGUGGCGAAGGCGGAUUGCUGGACAGUAACUGACGCUGAGGCGCGAAAGCGUGGGGAGCAAACAGGAUUAGAUACCCGAGUAGUC